rnacentral:rRNA from 1 species
GAUGAACGCUGGCGGCGUGCCUAAUACAUGCAAGUCGAGCGAACAGAUGAGGAGCUUGCUCCUCUGACGUUAGCGGCGGACGGGUGAGUAACAUGUGGAUAACCUACCUAUAAGACUGGGAUAACUUCGGGAAACCGGAGCUAAUACCGGAUAAUAUAUUGAACCGCAUGGUUCAAUAGUGAAAGACGGUUUUGCUGUCACUUAUAGAUGGAUCCGCGCCGCAUUAGCUAGUUGGUAAGGUAACGGCUUACCAAGGCAACGAUGCGUAGCCGACCUGAGAGGGUGAUCGGCCACACUGGAACUGAGACACGGUCCAGACUCCUACGGGAGGCAGCAGUAGGGAAUCUUCCGCAAUGGGCGGAAGCCUGACGGAGCAACGCCGCGUGAGUGAUGAAGGUCUUCGGAUCGUAAAACUCUGUUAUUAGGGAAGAACAAAUGUGUAAGUAACUAUGCACGUCUUGACGGUACCUAAUCAGAAAGCCACGGCUAACUACGUG